GACGAACGCUGGCGGCGUGCCUAAUACAUGCAAGUCGAGCGAACGGACGAGGAGCUUGCUUCUCUGGUGUUAGCGGCGGACGGGUGAGUAACACGUGGAUAACCUACCUAUAAGACUGGGACAACUUCGGGAAACCGGAGCUAAUACCGGAUAAUAUUUUUAACCGCAUGGUUGAAAAGUGAAAGAGGGUCUUGCUGUCCUCUAUAGCUAUCUCCGCGUUGCAUUAGUUAGUUGGUAAGGUAACGGCUUCCCAAGGCAACGAUGCAUAGCCGACCUGAGAGGGGGAACGGCCACACUGGAACUGAGACACGGUCCAGACUCCUACGGAAGGCAGCAGUAGGGAAUCGUGGGCAAUGGGCGAAAGCCUGACGGAUCAACGCCGCGUGGGUGAUGAGGGUCUGCGGAUCGUAAAACUCUGUUAUUAGGGAAGACCAUAUGUGUAAGUAACUGUGCACUUCGUGACGGUACCUAAUCAGAAAGCCACGGCUAACUACGUG
rnacentral:rRNA from 1 species